rnacentral:rRNA from 1 species
AUUGAACGCUGGCGGCAGGCCUAACACAUGCAAGUCGAGGGACAGGCGUACGGGUGAGUAACGCGUAUCCAACCUUCCCAUUACUGUGGGAUAACCUGCCGAAAGGCAGACUAAUACUGCAUAGUAAUGGACGGGGAGGCGUCUGAUUAGCUUGUUGGCGGGGUAACGGCCCACCAAGGCGACGAUCAGUAGGGGAUCUGAGAGGAAGGUACCCGACAUUGGAACUGAGACGCGGUCCAAACGCCUACGGGGGGCAGCAGUGGGGAAGAAUGGUCAAUGGACGGAAAUCUGAACCAGCCAAGUAGCGUGGAGGAUGACGGCGUAUGGGUGUUAAACUGCUUUUGUAUGAGGAUAGGUACCAUAUGAAUAAGGACCGGCUAAUUCCGUGCCAGCAGCCGCGGUAAUUC